GACGUGACUUCAGAGUUUGAUCCUGGCUCAGGAUGAACGCUGGCGGCGUGCUUAACACAUGCAAGUCGAACGGACUUAUCAUGAAGCCUAGCGAUUGAUAAGUUAGUGGCGGACGGGUGAGUAACGCGUGGGUAACCUGCCUCACACUGGGGGAUAACAGUUAGAAAUAGCUGCUAAUACCGCAUAAGCGCACGGUGUCGCAUGACACAGUGUGAAAAACUCCGGUGGUGUGAGAUGGACCCGCGUCUGAUUAGCUAGUUGGUGGGGUAACGGCCUACCAAGGCGACGAUCAGUAGCCGGCCUGAGAGGGUGAACGGCCACAUUGGGACUGAGACACGGCCCAA
rnacentral:rRNA from 1 species